AUUGAACGCUGGCGGCAGGCCUAACACAUGCAAGUCGAACGGUAACAGGAAGAAGCUUGCUUCUUUGCUGACGAGUGGCGGACGGGUGAGUAAUGUCUGGGAAACUGCCUGAUGGAGGGGGAUAACUACUGGAAACGGUAGCUAAUACCGCAUAACGUCGCAAGACCAAAGAGGGGGACCUUCGGGCCUCUUGCCAUCGGAUGUGCCCAGAUGGGAUUAGCUAGUAGGUGGGGUAACGGCUCACCUAGGCGACGAUCCCUAGCUGGUCUGAGAGGAUGACCAGCCACACUGGAACUGAGACACGGUCCAGACUCCUACGGGAGGCAGCAGUGGGGAAUAUUGCACAAUAGGCGCAAGCCUGAUGCAGCCAUGCCGCGUGUAUGAAGAAGGCCUUCGGGUUGUAAAGUACUUUCAGCGGGGAGGAAGGGAGUAAAGUUAAUACCUUUGCUCAUUGACGUUACCCGCAGAAGAAGCACCGGCUAACUCCGUG
rnacentral:rRNA from 1 species